GUCUCCUACGGGGGGCAGCAGUGAGGAAUAUUGGUCAAUGGUCGGGAGACUGAACCAGCCAAGCCGCGUGAGGGAGGAAGGUACAGAGUAUCGUAAACCUCUUUUGUCAGGGAACAAAGGCGGGGACGUGUCCCCGGAUGAGUGUACCUGAAGAAAAAGCAUCGGCUAACUCCGUGCCAGCAGCCGCGGUAAUACGGAGGAUGCGAGCGUUAUCCGGAUUUAUUGGGUGUAAAGGGCGUGUAGGCGGGGAUGCAAGUCAGAUGUGAAAACUAUGGGCUCAACCC
rnacentral:rRNA from 1 species